CUCUUAUCCAGAGCGGCGGAGGGACUAGGCCCGAUGAUGCCCGGCAACCUUCAGGCAAUGAUGCUUGAAAAGGUGCCAAUUCCUACAGGUCUAUGAUCUGACAGAUAAGAG
rnacentral:ncRNA from 1 species